UACGUAGGGGGCAAGCGUUGUCCGGAUUUAUUGGGCGUAAAGAGCUCGUAGGCGGUUUGUCGCGUCGACUGUGAAAACCCGAGGCUUAACCUCGGGCCUGCAGUCGAUACGGGCAGGCUAGAGUUCGGUAGGGGAGACUGGAAUUCCUGGUGUAGCGGUGAAAUGCGCAGAUAUCAGGAGGAACACCGGUGGCGAAGGCGGAUCUCUGGGCCUUACCUGACGCUGAGGCGCGAAAGCUAGGGGAGCGAACAGG
rnacentral:rRNA from 1 species